rnacentral:rRNA from 1 species
AUUGAACGCUGGCGGCAGGCCUAACACAUGCAAGUCGAACGAGCGGCAGACGGGGACGUAAUGCCUGGGAAUUGCCAAGUAGAGGGGGAAAACAGUUGAAAACUACUGCUAAUACCGCAUACCAUUGGCUUGCCCAUGGGGGUUUGGCUAGUUGGUGAGGUAAUGGCUCACCAAGGCGACGAUCCCUAGCGGGUCUGAGAGGAUGAUCGGCCACACUGGGACUGAGACACGGCCCAGACUCCUACGGGAGGCAGCAGUGGGGAAUAUUGCACAAUGGGGGAAACCCUGAUCCAGCCAUGCCGCGUGUGUGAAGAAGGCCUUCGGGUUGUAAAGCACUUUCAGCGAGGAGGCGUUACCCGCAGAAGAAGCAACGGCUAACUCCGUGCCAGCAGCCGCGGUAAUAC